GACGAACGCUGGCGGCGUGCUUAACACAUGCAAGUCGAACGGAAAGGCCCUGCUUUUGUGGGUUGCUCGAGUGGCGAACGGGUGAGUAACACGUGAGUAACCUGCCCUUAACUUUGGGAUAACUUCAGGAAACUGGGUCUAAUACCGGAUAGGAUCUCCUGCUGCAUGGUGGGGGUUGGAAAGUUCCGGCUGUUGGGGAUGGACUCGCGGCUUAUCAGCUUGUUGGUGGGGUAGUGGCUUACCAAGGCUUUGACGGAUAGCCGGCCUGAGAGGGUGAACGGCCACAUUGGGACUAGGAUACGGCCCAGUCGGCUACGGGAGGCAACAGUGGAGAGUAUUACACAAUGGGCGGACGCCAGAUGCAGCAACGUCGCGUGCGGGAUGACGGCCUUCGGGUUGAAAACCGCUGUCGCAUGUGCCGGAGCGUGAGUGACGGUACUGGGUAAAGAAGCACCGGCUAACUACGUG
rnacentral:rRNA from 1 species